rnacentral:rRNA from 1 species
AGAGCGAACGCUGGCGGCAGGCCUAAUACAUGCAAGUCGAACGGACCCUUCGGGGUUAGUGGCGGACGGGUGAGUAACACGUGGGAACGUGCCCUUUGGUUCGGAACAACUCAGGGAAACUUGAGCUAAUACCGAAUGUGCCCCCAUCCUUAAACAAGAUGGGUGGGAAAGAUUUAUCGCCAUUGGAGCGGCCCGCGUCUGAUUAGCUAGUUGGUGGGGUAAAGGCUCACCAAGGCGACGAUCAGUAGCUGGUCUGAGAGGAUGAUCAGCCACACUGGGACUGAGACACGGCCCAGACUCCUACGGGAGGCAGCAGUAGGGAAUCUUGCGCAAUGGGCGAAAGCCUGACGCAGCCAUGCCGCGUGAAUGAUGAAGGUCUUAGGAUUGUAAAAUUCUUUCAGCGGGACGAUAAUGACGGUACCCGCAGAAGAAGCCCCGGCUAACUUCGUGCCAGCAGCCGC